rnacentral:rRNA from 1 species
UACGUAGGGUGCAAGCGUUGUCCGGAAUUAUUGGGCGUAAAGAGCUCGUAGGCGGUUUGUCGCGUCUGCUGUGAAAACUCAGGGCUUAACUCUGAGCUUGCAGUGGGUACGGGCAGACUAGAGUGCGGUAGGGGGAGACUGGAAUUCCUGGUGUAGCGGUGAAAUGCGCAGAUAUCAGGAGGAACACCGGUGGCGAAGGCGGGUCUCUGGGCCGUAACUGACGCUGGAGGAGCGAAAGCAUGGGGAGCGAACAGG